rnacentral:rRNA from 1 species
GAUGAACGCUGGCGGCGUGCUUAACACAUGCAAGUCGAACGGUGAAGCAGAGCUUGCUCUGUGGAUCAGUGGCGAACGGGUGAGUAACACGUGAGCAACCUGCCCCUGACUCUGGGAUAAGCGCUGGAAACGGCGUCUAAUACUGGAUAUGAGCUGCGACCGCAUGGUCAGCAGUUGGAAAGAUUUUUCGGUCUGGGAUGGGCUCACGGCCUAUCAGCUUGUUGGUGAGGUAAUGGCUCACCAAGGCGUCGACGGGUAGCCGGCCUGAGAGGGUGACCGGCCACACUGGGACUGAGACACGGCCCAGACUCCUACGGGAGGCAGCAGUGGGGAAUAUUGCACAAUGGGCGAAAGCCUGAUGCAGCAACGCCGCGUGAGGGAUGACGGCCAUCGGGUUGUAAACCUCUUUUAGCAGGGAAGAAGCGAAAGCGACGGUACCUGCAGAAAAAGCGCCGGCUAACUACGUG